GAAAAGUCUUGCAUCUCACUCAUCGCAAUAUCUGCGGCGCUGCUCGUGGCAACGUCAUUUCGCUGGGUGUACCUUUAACAUAUUGUAACGAAACAGCAGGGAGCAAGUCUCGAACCCUCAACCUUCUAGCCCGAAGUCCAGCGCGCUAUCGACUGUGCCCCAAAAGCAUGCUCGAGUGGCGGAGUCGAUACCCGGGGUUAUAAACCCAGGGUCGUUACAAUAUUACCAGUGUCCAGGUAUGGCAUCUCUCCUGGACCAGGCUAGCCUGAUAAAGACAGCUGCUAUAGAGAAGGUGGUGGCCCCCAUCGCAGUCCACCUGGUCCACUUGGUCCUGCUGUGUGAGAGGGCAGAGGGGCUGGAGGGACCAGAGCAGUUCACCCAGCUAGAGGGAGAAGCACAGGCUGUGGCCAGAGCCACCAAGAACAUGGCCAUCGUUGCCUACAGACGUUCAGAAGCCACAGAUGAUGAGGUAAUGAGGACAGAGAUGUCAUCCCUAGUGGAGCCGAUGACUGUGUCUGGACAGCAUGUCCUCCUGGCAGCCCAGAAACUCAGUAUCCAGCCCAGCCUUGCCGAGCACAGAGAGGAGCUUAUCACUGCAACACAGAAUGUUCUGCUAGGAGUGGUCAAAAUACUUUCAGUGGAAGAUGAUGCAACAGUGAGAAAGGUCGUAGUGGCUGCAGACUGGGUGUUGGACUGCCUAUCCUCUCUAGCUUCCUCCCUGGACAUCCUGUCUCUACUGAAGGCCUUCCAUCGGUUCACUGAGGCCCUGGUUCUCCUGAACAACCUGGUAGUGGAGCGGGCUGAAGCCCUGCAGGAUCCUAGGCAGACGGAGCACUUGCACAACUCUUUGGACUCCUUGAGGAAAUGCAUCUCUAUGCUUCACACGGCUAUGGUCACCACUAUCAAACACCCAACCAGUGAGCAGGCCCAAGUCGCCAAAACGUACAUUCUGGACAAGGUGAAAAGCACUGUGAAAGACAUUGUAACUACACUCGAGAGUGAUUGCCGUAGAGGUGGUGUUGCCUUAGGUCCGUGUGGGUAUUACAUUGACAGGCGUGAUGGUUUGAUAAGGCUCCUGGCCAGUUCUUCCUCCUCUUCCUCGAUCAGUAACGUUGACAGCCUCUUAAGAGAUCUUGUGUUCCACUGCAUGGUGGUGGCCAACUCCUCACAAAGGGAGCUUCAGCACUGUGUGGUGGAUCAUUGCCGACAUGUCCUACAUCUCUGGUCAGAAAUGUCCAGGCUUGUAAAGCUUCCAGAGAAUCCUGAUGAUGAUAACCUGAACCAGCAUUUACAGAGUAUCUGUUUUUCACUGAUGCAGCAAAUCCAGAAUCUUGACAGUGCUAUGAUGACUGCAGUUCUCUAUCAAGUUCUGGACACGUUUGUUACAGGGUCAAGUCCACUCGAAGAUCUGGUGAAUAUGGUUGGACAAGUCUUGGAGAAUGAUUCAGUUGAAGAGUUGCCGGUAGAUCCAGUUUCUAUCCAUGUAUUGCUCAUGGAUCUUCUCUCACAGGCUGAUAGGAUGAUUCAGGUUGCAAGUUUCAUCUCGGCUUUCGCCACGGAUUCUAAGAGUCUAGAAAAUGUGGAGAACUCAAGGGCAUGCCUCACUCGUCUGAAGGCUGAGAUCGAACCUCUCGCACUGGAGUUGGAUAAAGACGGAUCAGACUUGGAGAACUGCUUUGAGGCCGUGCAGAAACUCCAUGAUCUGUGUGAGAGAUGGGAAGAGGAGACCGGUCAGCUGCAGGAUGCUCUUUGUGACAUCAUCGAUGUUAGAGAAUUCACUAGCUUGGCAGUUCACGAGAUGGCUAACGACCAGUGUGGAUGCGACGCAGCGUAUAAAGCCCAGAACCACAAACUGUUCAGAAAGCAUGCUGAUGACCUUAUCUCCCACACAAAACAGGUGGCUCACUCUGUUAGAAGACACGUAGACAAGAGUGACAACCCCAUCUACCGCAAUGGGCUCCUAGUUCUGUUGAAACAGGUUGAAGCGUCACAGGCCAAAGUGGUCGGAUCUGUCAGAGACAUGUGCUCUGGUUCCAGUCUUGAUGUGAAUCUAUACUCUGUCUUUUCAGAUCACACAUUUGUGGUGAUCCAGCACUUUAGAGUGUUAAGAGAAGGGCUGGAUGGACAGCAACAUCCACACCUCCUCAGUCCACUGCGAGAGGAUGCACGCCAGAGCAUAGUCUCAUCCUCAGUCCAAGCAACCAAUCAGAUUCAAGGAUCAGCUAUGGAUCAGGAAAUAAGAGACCUUGGCCUUCAGUUUCCUGUUCUAGAUGUUUCAGAAAGGGAUUCACCAGUUGAAUGUAAAGUUGAGUUCUCAGAAAAAGAAAUUAGAGAGCCUAUGAUGGCAGACAAUGACUUCAAUGAUGAUUUAAAGUGGCCAGCUGUUUCAGGUGAAGCGAAUCCAAUCCCAAAGCCUCUUGAUUUCGACCUUUUGCCCCUCUUGUAUGAGGUUGUGACUGUGACUAAAGAAAAAGAUGUAACGGUCCUCAGCAAAGCCUGUACAGGAGUUCUCAAGCUUUCAAAUUGUUACGCUCAGGCUGCGAAAGAAGCUUCAACUAUUGUUGACGCUGUCGAUAGUCAGACAUUGGAUAUCUUCAGAUCAGAGUUAGUGGCCCUGACGCCUCAGUUAGUCCAGACAGCUCAGGAGACUGUGAUGAGCUUAGCUAUGAGCACGGACAGUCUCUACAAACACAGUUUACUGUUCUCUGACCUGAUCAACAACAUCAGGAAAGUCCUCUUACCAGCUGCUGGAACCUGGUACCACGCCGUUUAUUCACUGUUUCAAGGUCGUCCACGAAACAUGGCCGCCACUGCUAUUUCUCAGGAACUCAGCAAAGUCAUGAGUUUGUGUGCCGAUGUGGUGCAGCUGUUGACGUCGUCUGAUAUAACGCCACCAAGUGACUGUCAGGAGAGCUUUACAGUUUUGCACAGCAAGCUGAACAAAGCCCAUAACAACACAAGACAGCUGACAGAACUUGCUAGCUCAUCAACAUCAGGUCAGGCAGAUCAACUUGAGGGGCCUUGUAUUCUGUGGGCACUGUCAGUCCAAGUUUUACUGAAUUCUUUGGAUAAGAUUUUAGGAACAAGGGAAACGUUGAUGAGACAGUUGACCCCUCAGAAAGGGUUGGCAGCCAUGUCCGAGAACUCACUGCGAAUCCAAGAGGCAGCGAGACUGACUAGCGUGAAUUGUAAAAGCACCUACAAAGUGAAAACAUUGACACAACUUCAGGAGGAAUUAAAGGCUCUCACUGAGGAAUACUUACAGGUAGCUGAAGACCUCUGCAUUGUAUCUCUCUCAGGCGUCCUCCAGUUUGCCAGGUCAGAACUUCUACAAAGACAGCUUCUGAUUAAAAUGAGGGUGCUAUCCGGCCACUUGAACAAAGCAAAUAAGGACUAUGCCACCGCAAUUCAAAACGUCGUAAACAUUGCUUAUACGGCUUCCAAGCACCACAAAGAUGAUAAGACAUCCAAGGAGGCCCAAGAAACAUUUGAGACUGCUGCAGAGUUGCUUUUCGAGAACGCCAAAGCUGCUACCAAGAGCGUUGAAGACUGUUUCAACUACAUUCGCAACCCUCGUGCCCGGAUUAACCUGAGGUCCAUCAACGAUCAUCUGUCCUUCCAGAUCUCGGAUAUAGUGAGCCGAGCCAGGCUGGUAGUGGAGACCCACUGUAUCUUCGACACUCUCAGUCUGGAGAUACAGAUACAGUGCUGGUCGGCCAAGGCUCGCUUUUUAGCCGAGGAGAUCUAUAAAGUGGAUGGGCUAAGCCAGGAGGCUAAGGAACACGUCAAGGUUGGUCUGCAGGGUGGAACACCAGGAGAUUCCAAAGAAGGGAUGACUGAGAGCAAUCUUUCUCCUACUCUGAAGAAGCUUGAAUACCAACCAGACAUUGCACCCUGGCAGACAACCAAUCCAGAGAAUAUAAAUACCACAGAACAGAAUUCCAGUAUCUGUGGUGCAACGCCCAAAUAUGAACCUGCGAUGGCAACAAAACAAUAUGUCCCACAGUUGACAGUGCAUGUCAGAGCAAAAACCAAGCCAUGAGGUUGAAUGAAUUGUCGCAGAGCUCCGAGACAGGAUUGUGUCGAGGCACAGAUCUGGGGAAGAGUACCAAAAAAUGUCUGCAGAAUUGAAGGUCCCCAAGAACACAGUGGCCUCCAUCGUUCUUAAAUGGAAGAAGUUUGGAACCAUUAAGACUCUUCCUAGAGUUGGCCGCCCAGCCAAACUGAUUAAUUGGGGGAGAAGGGCCUUAGUCAGGGAGGUGACCAUGAACCCGAUAGUCUCUCUGACAGAGCUCCAUAGUUCCUCUGUGGAGAUGGGAGAACCUUCCAGAAGGACAACCAUCUCUGCAGCACUCCACCAAUCAUGCCUUUAUGGUAGAGUAGCCAAACGGAAGCCACUCCUCAGUAAAAGGCACAUGACAGCCUGCUUGGACUUUGCCAAAAGGCACCUAAAGGACUCUCCGACCAUGAGAAACAAGAUUCUCUGGUCUGAUGAAACCAAGAUUGAACUGUUUGGCCUGAAUGCCAAGCGUCAUGUCUGGAGGAAACCUGGCACCAUCCCUACGGUGAAGCAUGGUGUUGGCAACAUCAUGCUGUGGGGGUGUUUGUCAGGAUUGAGGGAAAGAUGAACGGAGCAAAGUACAGAAAGAUCCUUGAUGAAAACCUGCUCCAGAGCACUCAGGAACUCCGACUAGGGCGUUAGUUCACCUUCCAACAGGACAACAACCCUAAGCACGCAGCCAAGACAAAGCAGGAGUGGCUUCGGGACAAGUCUCUGAAUGUCCUUGAGUGGCCCAGCCAGAGCCCGGACUUGAACCUGAUCGAACAUCUCUGGAGAGACCUGAAAAUAGCUGUGCAGCGACGCUCCCCAUCCAACCUGACAGAGCUUGAGAGGAUCUGCAGAGAAGAAUGGGAGAAACUCCC
rnacentral:lncRNA from 1 species